rnacentral:rRNA from 1 species
GAUGAACGCUGGCGGCGUGCCUAAUACAUGCAAGUCGAGCGAACAGACGAGGAGCUUGCUCCUCUGACGUUAGCGGCGGACGGGUGAGUAACACGUGGAUAACCUACCUAUAAGACUGGGAUAACUUCGGGAAACCGGAGCUAAUACCGGAUAAUAUAUUGAACCGCAUGGUUCAAUAGUGAAAGACGGUUUUGCUGUCACUUAUAGAUGGAUCCGCGCUGCAUUAGCUAGUUGGUAAGGUAACGGCUUACCAAGGCAACGAUGCGUAGCCGACCUGAGAGGGUGAUCGGCCACACUGGAACUGAGACACGGUCCAGACUCCUACGGGAGGCAGCAGUAGGGAAUCUUCCGCAAUGGGCGAAAGCUUGACGGAGCAACGCCGCGUGAGUGAUGAAGGUCUUCGGAUCGUAAAACUCUGUUAUUAGGGAAGAACAAAUGUGUAAGUAACUAUGCACGUCUUGACGGUACCUAAGCAGAAAGCCACGGCUAACUACGU